GUUAAAAAGCUCGUAGUUGGAUUUCUGUGGGGACGGAGCGGCCGGCCGCACAUCGCGGUUCGAGCUAGCGCUUUCCCUACAUCCUGCCGCGAACCGUGCUACCAUUAGUUUGGUGGCGCUGGGGAUCGGCUCGAUUACUUUGAGAAAAAUAGAGUGUUCAAAGCAGGCCACACGCCUUGAAUAAGUUAGCAUGGAAUAAUAACUAAGGACUUCGGUUCUAUUUUGUUGGUGUUCGGGACUGAAGUAAUGAUUGAUAGGGACAGUUGGGGCGGUCAGUAUUCCAAAGCGAGAGGUGAAAUUCUUAGACCUUCGGAAGACUAACAGCUGCGAAAGCGUUCCGCAAGGAUGUUCCCUUUGAUCAAGAACGAAAGUUGGGGGAUCGAAGGCGAUCAGAUACCGUCGUAGUCUCAACUAUAAACUAUACCAGCUAGGGAUCGGCCAACGUUAUUUUAUACCGACUUGGUCGGCACCUUAUGAGAAAUCAAAGCAUCUGGGUUCCGGGGGGAGUAUGGUCGCAAGGCUGAAACUUAAAGGAAUUGACGGAAGGGCACCACCAGCCGUGGAGCCUGUGGCUUAAUUUGACUCAACACGGGAAAACUUACCAGGUCCAGACAUAGUAAGGAUUGACAGAUUGAUAGCUCU
rnacentral:rRNA from 1 species